rnacentral:rRNA from 1 species
AACACGGACCAAGGAGUCUAACAUGUGUGCGAGUGCUCGGGGUUUAUCCCCCAGCGCGGAAUUAAUGUGAAGGCCUUUUUGGCUGAGGUAGGAUGCUUCGGCUGCACUAUCGACCGACCAUGAUCCUUCGGGUGAAAGGUUUGAGUGUGAGCAUACAUGUUGGGACCCGAAAGAUGGUGAACUAUGCCUGAGUAGGGCGAAGCCAGGGGAAACUCUGGUGGAGGUCCGCAGCGAUUCUAACGUGCAAAUUGAUCGUCGAACUUGGGUAUAGGGGCGAAAGACUAAUCGAACCAUCUAGUAGCUGGUUUCCUCCGAAGUUUCCCUCAGGAUAGCUGGAGCUUGUAGUACAGUUUUAUCAGGUAAAGCUAAUGAUUAGAGGAUGUUGAGUUGAAACAACUUGCACCUAUUCUCAAACUUUAAAUAGGUAAGAAGCCGUUUGAUAUAAUCUUGAUUGAUCAUCGGCCUCGAAUGGAAGCUCUUAGUGGGCCAUUUUUGGUAAGCAGAACUGGCGAUGCGGGAUGAACCGGACGUUUGGUUAAGGUGCCCAACUGGUCACUCAUCUAGAUACCAUAAAAGGUGUUGGUUGAUCUGGACAGCAGGACGGUGGUCAUGGAAGUCGAAAUCCGCUAAGGAGUGUGUAACAACUCACCUGCCGAAUGAACUAGCCCUGA